UGGACCAAUAAUAAUAGUGCACCAUGUACCAGAGAUUAUGAACAAUCUAAUUCUGUGCACUGGAGGACCAUG
rnacentral:snoRNA from 1 species